CCUCUCGGUUGCUCUGCGUUCGUCCGGCGGCGAGGGAAGCCCAGAGGGAAGCCGCUAGACUCGCGGCUGGUGCUACCCGGUGCUCGCUUAGUCCUUACAACAGCCCUGGGCGGUAGGGACCCUUAUGGUCCUUCCUUCACUGAUGAAGAAAUGGAAGUUUCUAAAAGUUACCUGCUCGUGGAAAUACGGCUGAUAAAUGGUUGCCCUGGAAAUCUGCCCAGGCCUCCUCAACUAUUAGCGCUAUCUCCAACGGUGUUCUAAUCAAGACGCGAAUCGAAAGGAACAGUUGAAAUCGUUUUCCAGAAAUAGUGGUAGGCUCCACACUGGGCUCAAACUCAAAUAUCAAGACCUGAACUGAAAUCAAGAGUUGGGGCCCCUAACCAGCUGAGCCACCCAGGCACCCCUAUUGUUGCAACUUUUAUGUAAGUUUGAGAUUAUUUCAAAAUAAAAUAUUAAAAAAUAA